AACGAACGCUGGCGGCAUGCCUAACACAUGCAAGUCGAACGAAGGCUUCGGCCUUAGUGGCGCACGGGUGCGUAACGCGUGGGAAUCUGCCCUUAGGUACGGAAUAACUCAGGGAAACUUGAGCUAAUACCGUAUAAUGACUUCGGUCCAAAGAUUUAUCGCCUAAGGAUGAGCCCGCGUCGGAUUAGCUAGUUGGUGAGGAAAAAGCUCACCAAGGCGACGAUCCGUAGCUGGUCUGAGAGGAUGAUCAGCCACGCUGGGACUGAGACACGGCCCAGACUCCUACGGGGGGCAGCAGUGGGGAAUAUUGGACAAUGGGCGCAAGCCUGAUCCAGCAAUGCCGCGUGAGUGAUGAAGGCCUUCGGGUUGUAAAGCUCUUUCGCCCGCGACGAUGAUGACGGUAGCGGGAGAAGAAGCCCCGGCUAACUUCGUGCCAGCCGCCGCCGUAA
rnacentral:rRNA from 1 species